AGAGUUUGAUCAUGGCUCAGAACAAACGCUGGCGGCGUGCCUAACACAUGCAAGUCGUACGAGAAAGCUUCCUUCGGGGAGUGAGUAAAGUGGCGCACGGGUGAGUAACGCGUGGGUAACCUGCCCUUGGGAUUGGGAUAACUGACCGAAAGGUCUGCUAAUACCGGAUACGCUUCCCAAUUUUUCGGAUUUGGGAAGGAAAGAUGGCCUCUCGAAGAAGCUGUCGCUCAAGGAUGGGCCCGCGUCCCAUUAGCUUGUUGGUAGAGUAAUGGCCUACCAAGGCAACGAUGGGUAGCUGGUCUGAGAGGAUGAUCAGCCACACUGGAACUGAGACACGGUCCAGACUCCUACGGGAGGCAGCAGUGGGGAAUAUUGCGCAAUGGGCGAAAGCCUGACGCAGCAACGCCGCGUGAGUGAAGAAGGCCUUCGGGUUGUAAAGCUCUGUCAGGUGGGAAGAAGGAUCACGGAUGAAUAGUCCCUGAUCGG
rnacentral:rRNA from 1 species